rnacentral:lncRNA from 1 species
AAGAAGGGUCGAGCACAAAGCGAAAAUGAUCUAAUACGACAUAUUGCGUGAGAAGGGUGUAGUCAAGAGACGGAGAAGACAGGAGAGAAGCGAUUGGAACCAUCAAAAAAGAAACUUGGAAUCAAAGGAAAAGAAAGAAGAGGAUUAGAGAAGAAACCUUUGAAAAGAAAGAAAGAGAAUGGGAAAGGGAGAAGACGAAGGGACAUAAGAGAAAUGAGGCCGUUAGAGGGAAUUUCAAAAAUGAGUUAUGAUGACGAAGUGACAGCAGCUAUUAUUAGUG